UGCGCGACUGAAUUCAUGGUCUUGCACACAUUAAGUAAGUACUCUACCACUAAUCUACACCCUCAGUCCUAUGUUCUUUUAAGAGGUCCCAAGAUGUCUAAACCCUAUUCUCUCUACUUCCACUCCAGAACUCUGUACACAAUGGUGAUGUCCAAAUAGUGCAUUGAGAAGGAAUUAAGAGCUCCCACAGUGACACUAGGGAUGGCAGUGCUAUUUGUAAGUGGUGUAUUUAUGCAUUGGGGGUAUACUUCUAAAAUUAUGAACACUCCAUUCAAUAAUUCAAACACAACAUAUACAUAUUGCUUUGCAUUUUAAGUAACAGAAAACAGAUUAUACCUACUUAUCUAAAUACUUAUUAAAAUCAGAGCCCUUUAAUUCUAAGUAAAAGGAAGGAUCACAUACACAGAAAAUGGAAGUCUAUUGUCAUCCAAAACUUCACAUAAACUCAGUUUUAAGAAAGGUGCCCAUUGUGCUACUUACACCCUAUUACAAGAAUUGUGUCUGGGUUGAACAGUGAUAUUAAUGCUGCCUUCAUUACAUCAGUUACAUAGAUUUCAACAGAGGCCAAACAACUAAAAUAAGAGAAAAAAAGCUUAAACAAUGCUCAGACUGCAAUACACAACAGAAACCUCCAAUGCCAAGUUCAGACUGACACUAUCCUUAACUCACCCCACUUUCCCGGCUUAGGAAAGCCUCCAAAGGAGCUAUUACCUCAGGAACUGAGCAGAAACCCCAACAAUCAGCAGAGAGACCCCUUGUCAGCCACACUCUCAUUUCUUCUCCUUAUAUCUGUUUUGAUUCACAGCCUUAGCAUUACUUAACCACAGUCUGUGGGUGACAUUUCCUUGAUUUCUUCUUCACUGGCCCUUCUCUUUCCACCCCCUCCCCAUGUAAGGAUAUGAUGUGUUGUAAUUACAGUACCAUCACACCCCUGGACUGCAGUACAGUAGCUGAGCAUUGCCACCUCCAUGUUGAGUAACUUCCACAAAUCAAC
rnacentral:lncRNA from 1 species